rnacentral:rRNA from 1 species
AUGCCCGUUUACGAUAUCGCCGCACGGAAGCGAAAGAAUCUGCUGCGCCGCCGGGAGGAGGAGGCCGCGCACGCAGAGGACGACAAGGAUCACUCCCCGGAUGAAGACGAGGAAGACGGCGAGGACUUCGAGGAUGAUGAAUAUGUGGACUCGGAUGAAGAGGUAGAAGAGAUGGAGGAGGCGCCCCCGAAGGCGCCAGCGGCUUCGAAGAAGGGAGCAGCCGACGCUGCAUCCAAGUCGGCUGCCACUGCUGCUUGUGCCACCCGCGUGGAGUUUAGUGAGCCGGCGCAGUGGGUGGAGCGGAUGGCCCUCACGUCAACCCGCUCCCUCCCGAGUGACCUCAACGCCGAUGACGACCCAAAGCGCGAGGAGGCGUUUAUUCAGCAAACGCUGCUAUCCGUGACACGUGGCAUCUCGCUUCUGGAGGAGGCUAAUGUGCCCUGGAAGCGACCGGAUGACUACUAUGCCGAAAUGUACAAGAGUGACGUGCACAUGAAUGAUGUGCGGCAGGCGAUGGAGGCCUCGAAGGCGCGCAUCGAGGCACAGGCGCACCGCCGCUCCAUGAAGGAGCAGAAGAAGUACGGCAAGGAGGUGCAGGCAGAAGUGCUGCGACAGCGUGCCAAGCACAAGCGCGACAUGCAGGAGAGCUUGAGCGACUGGCGCAAGAAGCGACGUGGUAAUGGCUCGCUGCAAGACAUGUUGAACGACGACGAUGACGUCGAUAGGGACGCAAAGCGCUCCAAGGCGCAGCGCACGCCUCGGGCGCGCAAUCUGCGCCCGGGCGGCAACAAGCGACCUGGCAAGAACGCGCGCCGUCGUCGCUGA